GAGAACCUUAAAUAGUUCCAGUUCCUGGGGAGGGAYGUUCCCGCUGUCCCAGGUGGCUCCAGCCAGGCCUUGGACAAUUCCAGGGAYGGAAUUCCAUGGGAUAAUCUGGGUCAGGGGAUGAUUUAUCCCCGAAUCCUUAUCUAAAUCUGCUUYGGAACGUGUCACUCCUGCUCUGGGUGACAAACCGGGGAUGGUCCCACCUUGGCCCCGAUGAUCUCCAGGUCUUUCCCAACCCAAAUAAUUCCCCGAUUCCCUGCCCGGCGCUCCCGGAGGAUCCCAAACUCCCCGUGCGAUGGAUAUCGCUUCGAUAUCGCGAUGGAUAUCGCUCGGCGGGGCUCCCAAUUAACACCCACCCCUGAGAGGGGUAAUUAGCGCUCUCCGGAAUGAUCCGGCACCCCCUGAUUUGCACCUAAAAGAGAUCCCAAUCAGCGACAAAUCGGGCCCGGAGCCUCGGGGCGCGGCAGGGACGGGAUAAAAGCGCUCCCAGCUCGGGGUUCUUUAUCCGCUUCUCCACCUUUCCUUCUCCGCUGCAUUCAGGCUCGGACCCGCUUUAAACCCCAUCCCGGGAUUUUUUUUACGGAGCCAUGUCGCACUGCGGGGACCUGUGCCUGCCCUCCUGGGAGGGGACCUGUCCCCAACCYCUGACCAACGCCUGCAACGAGCUGUGUGUCACCUCCUGCGACGAUUCCAAAGCCGUCAUUUACCCCCCGCCCGUGGUUCUGACUUUCCCGGGGCCCAUCCUCAGCUCCUGCCCGCAGGAAAGUUUUGUGGGAAGCUGCAGCCCCGCGGUUCUCGGCCGUUCUUUCGGCUCCGGGAGCUCCCUGAGCUAUCGGGGUUACGGGAAUCCCGUCGGUUUGAGGGGCUCCAUCCUCUUCGGAGGCUCCAGCGGUUCCGGGGGAGCCUGGAAUUCCAGCCGAUCCUACAAUUCGGGGUGCUCCUCGUUGGGAAGGGGAAAUUGCGGCCCUUUCUUGCAUCGCCAGUACAGCUCCUGCAGCCGCGGCAGCUGCGGGCCUUGGUGAAACCUUCCCGGGAGCUCCGGGGGAUGGAAUUGGGGAAAAUUCCUUCAAAAAAACCCCAAAUUCCGGCAGGAAUUCCCUGUCAAAGGUCCCGAGGUGUCUGUGUCGAUUCUGUGCUGCUGUGAGCGUUGCCUCGGCUUUUCGUGCGCAUUAAAAACCUUUUAUUGCUCCA